UACGGAGGGUGCAAGCGUUAUCCGGAAUCAUUGGGUUUAAAGGGUCCGCAGGCGGUUCUAUAAGUCAGUGGUGAAAGCCCAUCGCUCAACGGUGGAACGGCCAUUGAUACUGUUAGACUUGAAUUAUUAGGAAGUAACUAGAAUAUGUAGUGUAGCGGUGAAAUGCUUAGAGAUUACAUGGAAUACCAAUUGCGAAGGCAGGUUACUACUAAUGGAUUGACGCUGAUGGACGAAAGCGUGGGUAGCGAACAGG
rnacentral:rRNA from 1 species